rnacentral:rRNA from 1 species
CCUACGGGGUGCAGCAGUGAGGAAUAUUGGUCAAUGGACGAGAGUCUGAACCAGCCAAGUAGCGUGAAGGAUGACUGCCCUAUGGGUUGUAAACUUCUUUUAUAAAGGAAUAAAACGAGGCACGUGUGCCUUUUUGCAUGUACUUUAUGAAUAAGGAUCGGCUAACUCCGUGCCAGCAGCCGCGGUAAUACGGAGGAUCCGAGCGUUAUCCGGAUUUAUUGGGUUUAAAGGGAGCGUAGAUGGGGUGUUAAGUCAGUUGUGAAAGGUUGCGGCUCAACCGUAAAAUUGCAAUUGAUACUGGCAGUCUUGAGUACAGUUGAGGUAGGCGGAAUUCGUGGUGUAGCGGUGAAAUGCUUAGAUAUCACGAAGAACCCCGAUUGCGAAGGCAGCUUACUAAACUGUGACUGACAUUGAUGCUCGAAAGUGUGGGUAUCAAACAGGAUUAGAUACCCUGGUAGUC